rnacentral:rRNA from 1 species
UUGGUUAAGUUAGAAAGGGCGCACGGUGGAUGCCUUGGCACUAGGAGCCGAAGAAGGACGGGACUAACACCGAUAUGCUUUGGGGAGCUGUACGUAAGCGUUGAUCCAGAGAUUUCCGAAUGGGGGAACCCACUAUCUUUAGUCGGAUAGUAUCCUUACGUGAAUACAUAGCGUAAGGAAGGCAGACCCAGGGAACUGAAACAUCUAAGUACCUGGAGGAAGAGAAAGAAAAAUCGAUUUCCUGAGUAGCGGCGAGCGAAACGGAAAGAGCCCAAACCAAGAAGCUUGCUUCUUGGGGUUGUAGGACACUCUAUACGGAGUUACAAAAGAAAGUUAUAAAUGAAGCGGUCUGGAAAGGCCCGCCAAAGACGGUAACAGCCCGGUAGUUGAAAUGGCUUUCCCUCCAGAGUGGAUCCUGAGUACGGCGGAACACGUGAAAUUCCGUCGGAAUCCGGGAGGACCAUCUCCCAAGGCUAAAUACUCCCUAGUGACCGAUAGUGAACCAGUACCGUGAGGGAAAGGUGAAAAGCACCCCGGAAGGGGAGUGAAACAGUUCCUGAAACCGUGUGCCUACAAGUAGUUAGAGCCCGUUAAUGGGUGAUAGCGUGCCUUUUGUAGAAUGAACCGGCGAGUUACGAUUUGUUGCAAGGUUAAGCGGAAAAAGCGGAGCCGUAGCGAAAGCGAGUCUGAAUAGGGCGCAUAAGUAACAGGUCGUAGACCCGAAACCAGGUGAUCUACCCAUGUCCAGGAUGAAGGUAAGGUAAUACUUACUGGAGGUCCGAACCCACGCACGUUGAAAAGUGCGGGGAUGAGGUGUGGGUAGCGGAGAAAUUCCAAUCGAACUUGGAGAUAGCUGGUUCUCUCCGAAAUAGCUUUAGGGCUAGCCUCGAGGUAAAGAGUCAUGGAGGUAGAGCACUGUUUGGACUAGGGGCCCUUCUCGGGUUACCGAAUUCAGAUAAACUCCGAAUGCCAUGUACUUAUACUCGGGAGUCAGACUGCGAGUGAUAAGAUCCGUAGUCGAAAGGGAAACAGCCCAGACCACCAGUUAAGGUCCCCAAAUAUAUGUUAAGUGGAAAAGGAUGUGGGGUUGCUUAGACAACCAGGAUGUUGGCUUAGAAGCAGCCACCAUUGAAAGAGUGCGUAAUAGCUCACUGGUCGAGUGACCCCGCGCCGAAAAUGUACCGGGGCUAAACAUAUUACCGAAACUGUGGAUGAACCUCUUCGGAGGUUCGUGGUAGGAGAGCGUUCUAAGGGCGGUGAAGUCAGACCGGAAGGACUGGUGGAGCGCUUAGAAGUGAGAAUGCCGGUAUGAGUAGCGAAAGAAGGGUGAGAAUCCCUUCCACCGAAUAUCUAAGGUUUCCUGAGGAAGGCUCGUCCGCUCAGGGUUAGUCGGGACCUAAGCCGAGGCCGAUAGGCGUAGGCGAUGGACAACAGGUAGAGAUUCCUGUACCAGUGCUAAUUGUUUAACCGAUGGGGUGACACAGAAGGAUAGGGAAUCGCACGAAUGGAAAUGUGCGUCCAAGCAGUGAGUGUGAGAAGUAGGCAAAUCCGCUUCUCGCGAAGCAUGAGCUGUGAUGGGGAAGGAAAUUAAGUACGGAAGUUCCUGAUUUCACGCUGUCAAGAAAAGCCUCUAGGAAGAGUAGUACUGCCCGUACCGCAAACCGACACAGGUAGAUGAGGAGAGAAUCCUAAGGUGAGCGAGAGAACUCUCGUUAAGGAACUCGGCAAAAUGACCCCGUAACUUCGGGAGAAGGGGUGCUCUAUUAGGGUGCAAGCCCGAGAGAGCCGCAGUGAAUAGGCCCAGGCGACUGUUUAGCAAAAACACAGGUCUCUGCAAAACCGUAAGGUGACGUAUAGGGGCUGACGCCUGCCCGGUGCUGGAAGGUUAAGAGGAGUGCUUAGCUUCGGCGAAGGUACGAAU